CCAAAAAAUCGGCCAGAAGCCCCUCUCAGGUUUAUUCUCCAAAAUAAACCUUUGACUGUUGAGCCACUUUUUGUGUUUCUUUCCUCUUUCUUUAACUCUUACAUUUGGUGCUGAAAGCCAGGAUGGGUGUUGGGGAUAGAGGCUCUCUUGCAACCAAGGAAGCAGUGGACAGCAGCUGCUCAUCCCACUGGAUCCUGAGAGUCUCUGGCCACCCAUCCCAUCUUGUCUCUCACUUUACUUUUUGAGCAAUUUGCAUGAGGAGGACAACUAACCUGAAAGGGCCUGCAAGGCUCGGGCUGGGGCUACUCUCCAGUGAGCCCUCAAAACCCUCAGGUCUCAGGAAUCCACCUCUGACUGCCUGCAAUGGGUAUCAGGUAUUUCGCUUUCUCCCCUCCUCCUCCCUCAUCCUCCUCUCUAUCUCUCUCUCUCUCUCUCUGUCUCUCUCUUUCUCUCCCCACCACCCCACUUCUUGUGGCUCCAGUCCAAGAGGCCCUUUGCCAAUUCCAGCUGGAACAUCCAACAUCAGACACUAAUCCAGCUAACUGGAAUCAAACCUGACUUAUGAAGCCAAGAAAGCUCUUGGGAAAUUGGCCUCACGUUUUGUGUACACAGUCCCUGUACAGGGUUUCUGAUCUGUGGAUCAUGGCCAUUUCACAGACAACUACCCAAAAACAUCUACAGACGACAUUACUCCUACAGUCAAUCUGAGACCAGAAAACUCUCUGUCCUCCCAUCAGCAGGAAGUAGCUAGAAAGAACAUGCCACCUCUCUUCCUUUUUAUAACUAUAGGGUCUGGAUUGACAGAGCAGGAGCAUCACCAUCUUGGACAAGCACCACCAUUUUUAAGUUCACCUUGAUCAAAAGCCGCCUAAAUCCAAAGGGCAUCAGCCUAAUGGCUAAGGUCAGCAUGACCAUAAACCACAAAUGACAUCUCCGACCAGAAACAUUCCAACCAUAAGAUAAAUCCCUCCCCGACCAGAGACAUGCCAGCCCUGAGAUAACCUCUCCUCCGACCAGAGACACUCCAACCCGCAAUAAAUUUCUCCCCCACACACAGAAACAUUCCAAGCCUGUGAUAAGCUUUCUCACCCUAAAACCAAUACUCUUAGUCUGUAAGAGAGAGCACUCCUGACAGAAAUUGGCCAGAAGCCCCUCUCAGGUUUAUUCUCCAAAAUAAACCUGACUUUAACUGUUGAGCCAUUUUUCGUGUUUCUUUCCUCUUUCUUUAAUUCUUACACUGAGGACUAAAGAAGAGAUGGCUGUCCAAGUCCACCUGGAGCCCUGAUAGCUGUCCAGCCUGUGUGCAUCACACUGCAGGCCCUGUCUGGGGUCAGUCUGAGGAUAGCUUCCCCCAAUGGUGACCCCAGGCUUUUUCACUGUGGUGGGUCCAUUUUACUACUGUUACAGGACUUCCUCUUCUCCCUGGCUGUGGACCCAUUUCCAGCUAUCACCUUUGACAAAUUGGCAAAUUCUUAAGUAACCUGAAUCUCCUCUGUAUUUGGUCAUUCCAGCUACUCCCAGUGCCCAGUAUACCCACCUCUGGCACUGGUCUUGCGGGGCCAAAGGACAAACUCUUUUUACCUUUCACCAUCAAGCCCCUGUCUACUCGUCCCUUAUGGGAGAAGCUUCAAGUGGUCCACAUGGGACCAGAUUCAGCCAACAGAUUCUAGUGCCAUAACUGAGUUUUCUGAAAGUUGUUCCUGAAAGACUGAUUAAGCUACCUUUGCAUCUUGGCCCAGUUAAAACAGCAAUUCCUACCAAGAGGAGUGCUCAGGUAAGAAGAAAGUAGAACAAUUUGAGCCACCCCAAAAAGGUGGUGAUGCCAGUUAGCAACUGCUUGACUCUAGAGAAAUGAGACCAUGUCUUAUUCCUUGCUCUGCUCCCAGAGCCUUGCGCAGGCCUGGCUCAGAGUAGGCACCAUUCAUUGACUGAAUGAACUAUUCCCAUGAGUGCUGGGAGUGUUUUCCCACCCAAAUGAUCAGUAACCCUUCCUCUUCUUCAAAUUCAGCCUUUGCUGUUGCUCAAUAAAUGUAUGUUGAAAGGAAAAAGAUGAGGGGUCAGCUCUUCAGAGGACUGAAGAAGUGAGAACAAAAUAUCCAGGCUUGUCAUAAUCUCAAGGAAAAAGCAAGUGGUGUCACUUGCUCAAGGAUGAGGAUUAAGCAAUAGGUGUGUGGAGUUGGGUCCUCAAUCGUGGGGAAGGUUCUAAACAGAUUGCCCUAGGAUCUCAGUGAGGCGUGAAGCUUAUUCAAGUUCUCACCUGCUAUUUUCCCUGUCUUCAAAACACUCCUCUAGGCUGGGCACAGUGGCUCACACCCGUAUUCCCAGCACUUUGGGAAGCCGAGGUGGAUGGAUCACUUGAACCCAGGAAUUUGAGACCAGCCUGGCCGACAUGGAGAAACCCUGUCUCUACUAAAAAUACAAAAAAAAAUUAGCCAGGCAUGGUGGUGCAUGCCUGUAGUCCCAGCUACUCAGGAGGCUGAGGAAGGAGAAUCUCUUGAACUCAGGAGGCAGAGAUUGCAGUGAGCCAAGAUCACACCUCUGCACUCCAGCCUGGGCAAUAGGGCAAGACUGUUUCACACAUACACACACACACACACACACACACACACACACACAGACACACACACACACACACAAAAGACUCCUCCACUCACCUGUGCUUCUUUUCUCUUUUACCCUUCCGCCUCUGGUUAAAUGUUAGUUCCUCAAGGAGACCUUUCCUAGCCACCAGACUAGGUCAGAGUCCUCUUUUCGUGCCCUGACAGCCAGCAUCCAGUACCUUCCAGUCACAACGCUGAUCAGAGUUUGUAACUGCAUAUUACUCUGUGUAUGUUUGUUUGCUGUCUGUUUCCCCUGUUCCCUGAAAGGCAGUGCCACUCCUGUUUUGCUCUCCAUUGUAUCCCCAGCACAGGGGCUGGCUCAUAGUUGAUAUUCAAAAACCAUCUGAUGGAGAAAGGAAUGAAUGAAUUGUAUUCUAUCAUUUAAUGCUCAGAACAAUCUUGGGUCUUCAGUGUUGUAUUUGUCUCCCUUUCACAUGAGGAAAGUGAAAAUUAGAACUCUAGGGGGACACAGAGGGGACUGGAAUCAGUUCUACUGGAUCAACAGCCCACAUCUGCCCUGCUGCCUGGGUGAAGCGGAGGGUCCAGGUUAGUGAGAAUGGGAGAGAUGCAGGGGAGACAGGAAGACAGUCAGGAAGGGCCAGGGCCAAGUCCGGAACAGUGAGGAAGGGAAAGAAGUCCAGGAUGCUGCCCAGCUGACUUCAGCCUGACCCUGGGAGUCAAGAAGGAUGGGUGAAUGGGUGUAUGUCAUUGACGUGGAGCAGGGCAAAGGGGGUGCAGACUCGACGGGCUGUGGAUUUCUUCUCAAUUAUCUUCUGAAUUAUCUUGAUGUCUUCAAGAGGCAGUGCAAUCCUAGUUAAAAGAUGAAUUCCAGAGGCUGGCUCUGCUUCUGCUCUCAACCUGCUGUGUGAACUUAAACAAGUGAUUAAACAUCUCUGUGCCU
rnacentral:lncRNA from 1 species